AAUAGAAUAACCAUACAAUCUGAAUUUCCAUUUGUUUUAGACCACGUAGUUUAGACAUAGGUCGCAAUUAUAUAAGGAUGCACAUUUGUUUUUGUGCUUAUAAAGGAUCAUAAAGGUCCGUUUCAACUUAAAUAAAAAAAGAUUUACACAUACAUACAUUUUGAACAGCAAUAAUAACUGUGGAAUGGUUUACACAUACAUUCACUUUGUAGAGCAUUAAGAACUGUGGAUAGGUGUGUUCGCAUACAGCUACAGAGAUGCAGUCCCAGUUUAGCACAAACCUUCGCAAAUGUGGAGAAACAACUUCUUACUACAGACUGCUUUUACGCAAACUCUAAAUGGAUUGAGAAUUCGCACAUUACUUCGGUUAUGAUGUAUUGUGGUAUGCACAUAGGCGGUGAACUCUAUCUACGCAAUAUUGGUAAAAACACAACAAUUGGCGGAAAACAAGCUACUUUGAAUGUUAUUAAAGAUUUUAUUCCAUACUUAUGUGCCAAUAUGAACGAUUUUGUCACCUGUAUCGCUCGGGAAGUUGGUCAGUCCAAAAAUAUAAUAGACAGAAUUUCCCUGAACUUUCUUGACCUCACCAAUGCUUAUCGUCUACAAGUAAUUUUUGUAGCAAUGUGUGAUCGGACACGAGACAUUCAGGAUAAUGUGGAAUGCUUCAGUAAGGGAGAAUUCAGUAGUUGUACAAUUCUACCAAAGAAGCAAAAUCGUCUUUUCAUGAAAUAUCUGGACACUUUUCAAAAAAACAAUACAUAUUUUGAUGUCGAUGAUUCUGUCACAGAACUUUGUGGAACCUUGAAGGAAGUUGGAAUGUGUGGUGCAAGAGCGUUGUCAAACUGUAGCCAAGAUCUCAGUCAGCUUGGACAGGAUAUCAUCAAUGAACUUUUCAGACUGGACUGUGGAGGCUUACGACCUUUGACAAGAUAUCUAAAUAAUGGAACUCAGAAGAUUCCAUUGAAAUUUACUUUGUUUUAAAGCAUCUUCUUACUAAUGCACUUCAUGUUAUGACGAGGUAGACAGAUUGUUAGCUUAUUCACUGAAAUAUAAAAGUGUUAAAAGAUAUGAUCUUAAAAUAUAUAUCUCGGCUGCUUUACUGAUUACUAAUAAAUCUUAAUCUUAAUUUUAUAUCGAAAGAUUUUAGUAUCUGAAGAAAUUACCGUUAUCAAUGAUUCUUGCAAAGGGGGUCAAGGUCAGAUGAACAUGUCAACCAAACAUUGAUUCCCUUCAAGAAGUUUUAGUAUGAGAAAUACUUAAAGAUGACCCAAGAAAAUGGAGCGGAGGCCAGAUGAACCCUAAUAGACGUACAAAUUGAAUUUUAAUUGUACAUAAUGCCGUCUGUAUUUUCCUAUAUAUGAUUCAUCCCCUCCUGGAUAUGUGUCAACCUGUGAUAAUAUACCAGUGGUGGUAUGCAGAUGUGAAAAUGG